rnacentral:rRNA from 1 species
AGAGUUUGAUCCUGGCUCAGGAUGAACGCUGGCGGCGUGCUUAACACAUGCAAGUCGAACGAAGCACUUUAUUUGAUUUCCUUCGGGACUGAUUAUUUUGUGACUGAGUGGCGGACGAGUGAGUAACGCGUGGGUAACCUGCCUUGUACAGGGGGAUAACAGUUGGAAACGGCUGCUAAUACCGCAUAAGCGCACAGCAUCGCAUGAUGCAGUGUGAAAAACUCCGGUGGUAUAAGAUGGACCCGCGUUGGAUUAGCUAGUUGGUGAGGUAACGGCCCACCAAGGCGACGAUCCAUAGCCGACCUGAGAGGGUGACCGGCCACAUUGGGACUGAGACACGGCCCAAACUCCUACGGGAGGCAGCAGUGGGGAAUAUUGCACAAUGGGCGAAAGCCUGAUGCAGCGACGCCGCGUGAGCGAAGAGGUAUUUCGGUAUGUAAAGCUCUAUCAGCAGGGAAGAUAAUGACGGUACCUGACUAAGAAGCACCGGCUAAAUACGUGCCAGCAGCCGCGGUAAUACGUAUGGUGCAAGCGUUAUCCGGAUUUACUGGGUGUAAAGGGAGCGCAGGCGGUGCGGCAAGUCUGAUGUGAAAGCCCGGGGCUCAACCCCGGUACUGCAUUGGAAACUGUCGUACUAGAAUGUCGGAGGGGUAAGCGGAAUUCCUAGUGUAGCGGUGAAAUGCGUAGAUAUUAGGAGGAACACCAGUGGCGAAGGCGGCUUACUGGACGAUAACUGACGCUGAGGCUCGAAAGCGUGGGGAGCAAACAGGAUUAGAUACCCUGGUAGUCCACGCCGUAAACGAUGAGUGCUAGGUGUUGGAUCCUUUCCGGGAUUCAGUGCCGCAGCUAACGCAUUAAGCACUCCGCCUGGGGAGUACGACCGCAAGGUUGAAACUCAAAGGAAUUGACGGGGGCCCGCACAAGCGGUGGAGCAUGUGGUUUAAUUCGAAGCAACGCGAAGAACCUUACCAGGUCUUGACAUCCCGAUGCUAUUUCUAGAGAUAGAAAGUUACUUCGGUACAUCGGUGACAGGUGGUGCAUGGUUGUCGUCAGCUCGUGUCGUGAGAUGUUGGGUUAAGUCCCGCAACGAGCGCAACCCCUAUUGUUAGUUGCCAUCAUUCAGUUGGGCACUCUAGCGAGACUGCCGGUAAUAAACCGGAGGAAGGUGGGGAUGACGUCAAAUCAUCAUGCCCCUUAUGACCUGGGCUACACACGUGCUACAAUGGUUGGUACAACGAGUUGCGAGUCGGUGACGGCAAGCUAAUCUCUUAAAGCCAAUCUCAGUUCGGAUUGUAGGCUGCAACUCGCCUACAUGAAGUCGGAAUCGCUAGUAAUCGCGGAUCAGCACGCCGCGGUGAAUACGUUCCCGGGCCUUGCACACACCGCCCGUCA